rnacentral:lncRNA from 1 species
CUUGAAAUAACUGAGUGUGUGAAGUUUAAGUAGGUAGCACAAACCAUGUUUGAUUUCCAAUUCCAAUGACAUUUAUUUUUAUAGGGCAAAACAAAGUACAACCUAAAAAUUCAAAAUGUACCUUCCACAAUCUUUUGAACCUGGGAGUAACAAAUUUGGGAAGCCAGUUGGGACUGAUGAAAGGAUCUAUCUUUCCCAGAAUCAACAAAAUAUGCAGAAAAAUUUGGGCAAACAUUAAAUUAAAUUUGUACUUUCCUGCAAGCUGCUAAAAUGAUCUUAAGAGAAGUUUUCCUGCAUGUGCUGAGAAAUGCUUCUGCUUAGGGUUAUUUCAAUAGGGUACAAUUUAAGGAGUGCACACUGAGUAUUAACAGAGUGUGUGAAGUUUCAAGCAGGUGGCAAAAAUUGUGUUUUAUUUUCAGUUCUAAUUCCAUUCAUCCCUCUAGAGCAACAUGAAGUGAACCCUAAUAAUUCAAAGUGUUCCUGCCAAUGAACCCUUAAACCUAGGUGGACCAUACAUCAGGAGCAAGUGGGAGUUAAUAAUUGAUCAAUGCUUCCCAGUAUUAACAGAAUCCGAAGGAAAAAAUAUGAGCAGAGAUUUCAGAAAAUUUGUAUAUUUCUUCAAGCUGCUGAAAUGCUUCCCCCAAAAGGUGUUUUUGCACAUGCUGAGAAAUGCUUCUGUUUAGGUUAACUUCAACAGGAACAAAACAGAAAAUGUGCCCUGUGAACUAACUCACUGUGUGAUGUUUCAAGCAGCCAGCAGAAACCAUGCUUGAUUUCCAGUUGCAAUUAAAUUCAUUUCUAUAGGGCAAAGCAAACAGAAACAUAAAAAUUCAAAGCAUCCCUGCAUGUGAACACUUGAACCUAGGAUAACCAAACUUGGAGAACCAGAUUCCACUGGUGAACACAUUAAUACUUCCCAGUAAUAACAAAAUCCACAGAAAAAAAAUUUGGCAGAGAUUUCUGUAAAUUCACACUUUCAUGCAAUCUCCAAAACACGCCCCAAAGCAGGUGUUCCCUCAUGUACCGAGAAAUGCUUAUGCUUAAGGGUAUUCAACACGUAAUAAAAAGGGGAGUGCACCCUGAGAACUGACUGAAUGUGUGAAAUUUCAAGCAGCUAACACAAACUGUGUCCAGUUCCACUUGCAUUCAUCCCUAUAUGGAAAAAGGAAUUGAAACCUAAAAAUUCAAAGCAUUCCUGUCAUCUACCUUUUGAGCAAAGUAGGAACAAACUUGGGGAGCCAGGUGGGACUGGUG